UGCUCUUCCCAUCUCGAGAGCAAGAGGAAGAGAGAGGCCCUCAGCUGCUGGGGAGUCCCUGCCCCAACUUAUCCUGCAAAACACUGAGAAUCUCCCGACCUCCACCGUUUCCAUCCCAGACCCCCUGAAGAAGGGGAGGGGCUUGGGGAGCCCUACCUUGUCAUGUACCAUCAAUAAAGUAUACUGUACC